CAAUCUAUUUCUCCUCGUAAGUUUCACAUAGCACCACAACCACAUAUAAUUCCAGUGUCGUUCUAUUUUCACAUAGACCAACAAUUCCAAACCGAUUUCCCAAAAUCCAAAAGAUCUAAAUAUGGUUCCACAUAGAAGUUGGAUAACUCGAUUUAGGACAUAAACUCGAUGCGAAACCAAGAAACCACUAGAGUAAACCAAAUUAAAAUCCGCAACCCGCAACAUUCAACAUAAAGAUUUAUAAGUUACUAACCAUACAAUAUAAAGAUUUAAAUAUAGAACUUUUAUUUAACCGAUUGUUAGAACUUCUUCAUGUUUAUUGGUGAGUUUGGGUGGGUUUCACCUCAUUAAAAAAAUGAAAAGAAAAUAAAUUUGGACAGAAAAUGGGUUGGAUCGUAUCAGUCCAUUGAGUUUUCUGGAUCGGUUCAGUUCCACAGAUGUCACCUUCUGAGUGGAGGAAAAAAAAUUAAUCGGGAAGAAUGACUAGCUCUGAUCAAUCUCCGUCGCACAACGUCUUCGUCUACGGCAGUUUCCAAGAACCAGCCGUCGUAAGUUUGAUUCUUGAAUGUUCUCCGGUCAUCGUCUCUGCUCAACUCCACGGCUAUCACUUGUAUAGACUCAAAGGACGUUUGCAUCCAUGUAUUUCUCCUUCUGAGAAUGGAGUAAUCAACGGCAAGGUUUUGAUUCCAUCUCCUUCUUUUACAAGAAAAAUUAGGGGUUUGAAUCAACAAAUUGGGGUUUUCUUGUUUUAGUCAUUUUAAUUUCUGAAGCUGUAAACGUUGUUUCUUGAUUUGGUUGAUUCAACAUGUGGAUCACAAAACCUGAAGUUAAGGGGUUGAUGUUUUGGUGUAGAUACUAACUGGAUUAACAAAUGUACAAGUUAAGCAAAGUAGGACAAGCCAUUGAGAACAA